rnacentral:rRNA from 1 species
GCAACAUUACCGUCUUUGACCUCGGAUCAGGUAGGGAUACCCGCU